UUCCCUUACUCCUUUCAUACCCUCAUUGUGGAGCUCAUAUCUACAUUAUCAAUUUAAAAGAUAACAUAUCUCAACGAAAAUCAUCACCAUCAGCAGCAGCCAUGUUCUGGCAUUCUCUUCUGCUGGUUCUCCUGGAGCUCUCCUGCCUUCAGUCCAUCACCAUGGGACAGACAUCAGCAAUGUUCUGUCGUUCUCUCCUGUUGGUUCUCCUGGGGCUCUCCUGCCUUCAGUCCAUCACUAAGGCACAGAAUGCAAAAGGGGCAGCAUUGUGCUGUUUUAAGUUUCAAAAUAAACCAAUGAAGGCAGCAAACAUCCGCGCCUUCGAAAAAACAAGAUUCGACUGUACACAUCGUGGAGUCAUUUUUACUACAAAAAAAGGAAUUCCCAUUUGUGUGGACCCUGCGGUGGAUUGGGUGAAACAGAUCAUCAAAAUUAAAACCGAAACUUGUCUUAAGCAUCCGAAUCAAAUUAGAUUAAAAUGGUGUUUGAAUCAAACUGAUGAACAAGACAAAUGUAUAUAUAUAUAUAAUCAAAAUUAUACACCUGUAACUGCUCUGAUUAUAUUUAA